AUCCUUUUGUAGUUCAUAAACAUGAUGAUUGGGUUUUCAUGUGCAUGCGUGAGAUGUGCCGCCCACAAAUCUUGUUACCCCAGCCAAUUACCGGUCUGACA